rnacentral:rRNA from 1 species
CAAUAGCGUAUACUAAAGUUGUUGCAGUUAAAAAGCUCGUAGUUGAAUUUCUGGUCGUGGCGAUCGGUCCGCCCCUCACGGGGUGUGCACCUGGUCUCUACGUCCAUCCUCGGGGAGAGCGCGUCUGGCAUUUAGUUGUCGGGUGCGGGAUCCUCGUCAUUUACUGUGAGCAAAAUAGAGUGUUCAAAGCAGGCUUAGGCCGUUGAAUACAUUAGCAUGGAAUAAUAAGAUAGGACCUUGGUCUAUUUUGUUGGUUGCAUUCCAAGGUAAUGAUUAAUAGGGACAAUUGGGGGCAUUCGUACUGGCACGUCAGAGGUGGAAUUCUUGGAUUGUGCUAUGACGAACUACUGCGAAAGCAUUUUGCCAAGGAUGUUUUUCAUUGAUCAAGAACGAAAGUACGGGGAUCGAAGACGAUUAGAU